GGAGGGGAAAGUCCCCCCUGCACCAUUGGCACCCCCGGCCCCGCAGAGCAGCCAAUGAUUAACCCACAGAGCGGGGUGCGCCCGUGGGACACUGCUGUCCCCACAGUGCGGGGGCAACGGGGGAAAUUCCCGUCCUUCCAGGACCAUUUUGCAAGACGAGUUUUGAAGGGAUGAGUUUUGUGGGAUGGGUUUUAUAGGAUGAGUUUUGCUUCGGCACCGGAGCGCGGGGAUGGAGGAAGCGUCUGGAGAGGAGCGGGGCGGCGGGGAGGGAGAGCUGCCUUCCACCCCCCGCAUCCCCCUUUCACUGUGUGGGCAGUUGUUUUAUGGCAGGAGGGCCGGGGAACCAUUUUAGCAUGAUCCACGCUGAGACUGCUCGAGGAGUUCCCCGCUGAGGGCUGGAUACAAAGAAAAGCGGAAUUAACGGCGGGUCAUAUAAGGCGACAGGAUCUGACAGAUCCGAGCCAAUGUAUGCUGGCAGCAGCCAGUCCGUGGCACUGUGAGAAAACACUCCUGCAAAUUUAACAAAUCCCUAUGGUCUAGAAAGUCAUGUACAAGAAAUUACUAAUGAAGGGAUCUAGUCAUAUCUGGAUUUCCAGACGCUGGUCAUAGUCCCACCGCAUCUCGCAGGCCAUAUAAGUACAUGGAUCUGCAUCCAGGGCGCUGCGGACCGGGAGGAUUGUUCUGAUCGUCUGCGUCACUGCAGGGCUUGGGGACAUGGCGUGGGGACGGGUCCUGAUUCGGGAUGGCUGGGGGAGUGUGGGGCUGCAGUGGCAUUGGGGUGGUAUCAUGCUGGCACCGGGCUGGCAUCGGGGUGGAAGGAGGCCAGGACGCCCACCAGGGGAUGCUCAGCCAAGGCACUGUGUGAGCUGCUGGGGACUGCCCUGUUUUCCUUCCUAGCCUUGGUGUCACCCCAUGGGCACAACAGAAGUUGCAUUUCCUAAAGAGCCGUUGUUGUGCUGCUGCCUGUGAAGGUUCUCCUCCCGCCUCUUCCAGCUCUGUAGGUCCUACACAAACCCUCGCUAUAGGUCUGACCCAAACACACAGUGUACAUCCUGCACAAAUGCUCACUGUAGGUCCUACCCAAACACACAAUGUAGAUCCUACCCAAAUGCUCACUGUAGAUCCUACCCAAACACACAGUAUAUGUCCUACAUGGACGCGUAGUGUAGGUCCUACACAAACACGCAAUGUAUGUCCUAUCCAAACAUGUAAUGCAUGUCCUACACAAAUGCUCAUCGUAGAUUCUACCCAAACACUCAGUGUGGGUCCUACUCAAACACCCACUGUAGGUCAUACCCAAUUGCUCAUUGUAGAUCGUACCCAAACACUCACUGUAGGUUCUACCCAAACACCCACUGGAGGUCGUACCCAAAUGCUCAUUGUAGAUCCUACCCCAACACAUAGUGUAGGUCCUACCCAAACACCUAGUGUAUGCCCUACUGAAACACCCAGUGUGGGUUCUACCCAAACACAUAGUGUAGGUCCUACCCAAAUACCCAGUGUAGGUCGUACCCAGACAUAUAUUGUAAGUCCUAUCCAAACACCCAGCGUAGGUCCUACCCAAGCACGUAUUGUAGGUCCUACCCAACCGCCUGGCUAUUUUCUAACCCAUCCCUUUUUCUUCCCCCAAUGCUGUCACGGCGAUGCCGCAACCUCCACCAGGGACCGGUUGGUUCUGCCCCACGGAGCCGGGCAGGUGGCCAGCCCCCCCCCGAGCCCCUCUCUCUGCCCGGGGACAAAGAGGAACAGACGUCACCGCGCAUCACGCGGCCGCGGCCCGCUCCAUCUUGUUAGCACAUUGUGUAACACAACAUGUGGAGGCGCCGGGACCGCACACACAUGCGCUCCCCAACAGCCCAACGAGGGGGGAACGAAAGAGGGAAAAAAAAAAAAAAAAAGAAAAAAAAAAAAGAGAAAGAGAGAAAAAAAAAAAGGAAGCAAUUUAAGCUUUGAAUCUUUCUCUUUAAAAUGUUCUCAUGGCUUCAUUAGAAUCUGCAGCCACAGAGGCUUUGAAGAGCCUGGUAUAAGGAGUGAAACAUCUGGAAAAAUUAGGAUUAAUGAAAACAUAAUUCCCAAGACUAAAGGAAAGAUUAAUCCUGCGUUACCACUUGUGUGUUCCACAGCUUUUCCCCAGCUCGUAACGCUGAACUUAUUAAAUCGCCUUGAGCUGAGUUUUCCUUUUUCUCUCUCCCUCCCCUAUUGAGCCCAAUGGAAGCGACUGAUGCCAAACGUAACCAUAACCAACUGCGCCGAGCAGCGCGUGUGCGCCCGCCCGCCCCGCUCCCAG
ensembl:lncRNA